CCUACGGGAGACAGCAGUGAGGAAUAUUGGUCAAUGGCCGGAAGGCUGAACCAGCCAUGUCGCGUGAGGGAGGACGGCCCUACGGGUUGUAAACCUCUUUUGCCGGGGAGCAACGGGCGUCACGUGUGGCGCCACUGAGAGUACCCGGAGAAAAAGCAUCGGCUAACUCCGUGCCAGCAGCCGCGGUAAUACGGAGGAUGCGAGCGUUAUCCGGAUUUAUUGGGUUUAAAGGGAGCGUAGGUGGAUUUUUAAGUCAGUUGUGAAAGUUUGCGGCUCAACCGUAAAAUUGCAGUUGAAACUGGCAGUCUUGAGUACAGUAGAGGUGGGCGGAAUUCGUGGUGUAGCGGUGAAAUGCUUAGAUAUCACGAAGAACUCCGAUUGCGAAGGCAGCUCACUGGACUGCAACUGACACUGAGGCUCGAAAGUGUGGGUAUCAAACAGGAGUAGAUACCCCAGUAGUC
rnacentral:rRNA from 1 species